UACAAGGUGUAUUUAUUGACUUUGAGAAGUGUUUCUCUAAGAAGGUGUACUGAAAGAUUUUCUCCUGCUACAGGGAUAGCCCUUAAAAAGGAAGUCACUUUCCUUAGGUACACAGACAGGGCUCCUUCAGCAGACAGCAGAUAGAUAUGGAAUGCAGACCUUGUUUUCUGUGAUGGUCCCAAUGUAUCACUGGAUAAGUCUGUCCAAUUCUGGGGUUUGUUCAUAGGAAACCUAUGUGCCAGCAAAUCUAUGUCACAUUCUCCAGUAUCUCCUUUAUAAGGAAUAAAGUCAAUGUAUUGUUCUUCUUAUUCUUUUGUCAUAUUUCUCAGUUGGUGUACAACUCAGACUUGGAGCUGGAGGGCAUUUUGGGGGCCCCUUAAAGAUCCAAGCAUUGCGAAGCAAGACUAUAGGAAUAGUUGGGGAGCAAGCGAGACACAGGAGAGUAGAGCUGUGGACCUAUUGUAAGCCCCACCCCUGAGGGCAGAGCAGAACAUAUACUUGGUUAAGUGAAGGUUACAACCAAGAGUUUUAAAGGGAGAGGACCUGGGCUGUGCAACCUGUUUCUCCUUCCAAACUCACCAAUUAGAUGGGACAUUCCUGUGAUAGAGGAGUGAGUGUAUCAAGAGGCCAGAAGUGUUUUGGGUAUCGAUGUCUCUCCACAUAGAAGAAAAUAUUAAGAAUGGUGGACAAGCAGUACCUAAGCUGGAGCGGGGUAGAGGCGGGCCAGCACCCACUUCUGACCUCCAGUGCCGCCAGCCUCAAUAUCAGACAUGGCCCAGAACUUGAAGGACUUGGCAGGACGGCUGUCCGCCGGGCCCCGGGGCAUGGGCACAGCACUGAAGCUGUUGCUGGGGACCAGCGCCAUGGCCUACAGUGUCCGUGAAUCCGUGUUCACUGUGGAAGGUGGGCACAGAGCCAUCUUCUUCAAUUGGAUCAGUGGAGUGCAGCAGGACACUAUCCUGGUCGAGGGCCUUCACUUCAGGAUCCCCUGGUUCCAGUACCCCAUUAUCUAUGACAUUCAGGCCAGAUCUCGAAAAAUCUCCUUCCCUAUAGGCUCCAAAGACCUACAGAUGGUGAAUAUCUCCCUGCAAGUGCUGUCUCGACCCAAUGCUCAGGAGCUUCCUAGCAUGUACCAGCGCCUAGAGCUGAACUACGAGGAAUGAGUGUUGCCGUCCAUUGCCAACGAGAUGCUCAAGAGUGUGGUGGCCAAGUUCAAUGCCUCACAGCUGAUCACCCAGCGGGCCCGGCUAUCCCUGUUGAUCCGCCGGGAGCUGACAGAGAGGGCCAAGGACUUCAGCCUUAUCCUGGAUGAUGUGGCCAUCACAGAGCUGAGCUGUAGCAGAGAGUACACAGCUGCUGUAGAAGCCAAACAAGUGGCCCAGCAGGAGGCCCAUCAGGCCCAAUUCUUGGUAGAAAAAGCGAAGCAGGAACAGCGGCAGAAAAUUGUGCAGGCCGAGGGUGAGGCCGAGGCUGCCAAGAUGCUUGGAGAAGCACUGAGCAAGAACCCUGGCUACAUCAAACUUCGUAAGAUCCGAGCAGCCCAGAACAUCUCCAAGACAAUCGCCACAUCACAGAAUCAUAUUUAUCUCACGGCUGACAACCUCGUGCUGAACCUACAGGAUGAAAGUUUCACCAGAGGAAGUGAUAGCCUCAUCAAGGGUAAGAAAUGAGCCUUGUCACCAAGAACUCCACCCCCAGAGGAAGUGGAUCUGCUUCUCCAGUUUUUGAGGAGCCAGCCAGGGGUCCAGCACAGCCCUACCCCACCCCAGUAUCAUGCGAUGGUCCCCCACACCGGUCCCCUGAACCCCUCUUGGAUUAAGGAAGACUGAAGACCAGCCCGUUUUCUGGGGAAUUACUUUCCUCCUCCCUGUGUUAACUGGGGCUGUUGGGACAGUGUGUGAUUUCUCAGUGAUUCCCUACAGUGUUGUUCCCUCCCUCAAGGCUGGGAGGAGAUAACCACCAACCCAGGAAUUCUCAAUAAAUUUUUAUUACUUAA